rnacentral:rRNA from 1 species
UACGUAGGGGGCAAGCGUUGUCCGGAUUUACUGGGCGUAAAGAGCGUGUAGGCGGCCAAGCAGGUCCGUUGUGAAAACUGGAGGCUUAACCUCCAGACGUCGAUGGAAACCAUCUAGCUAGAGUCCGGAAGAGGAGAGUGGAAUUCCUGGUGUAGCGGUGAAAUGCGCAGAUAUCAGGAAGAACACCCGUGGCGAAGGCGGCUCUCUGGUACGUGACUGACGCUGAGACGCGAAAGCGUGGGGAGCAAACAGG